rnacentral:rRNA from 1 species
UACGUAGGGGGCAAGCGUUGUCCGGAAUCAUUGGGCGUAAAGAGCGUGUAGGCGGCCCGAUAAGUCCGCUGUGAAAGUCCAGGGCUCAACCUGGGGACGCCACUCGAUACUGCUGUGGCUAGAGUCCAGUAGAGGAGUGUGGAAUUCCCGGUGUAGCGGUGAAAUGCGCAGAUAUCAGGAGGAACACCCGUGGCGAAAGCGGCUCUCUGGGACGGUACUGACGGCUGAGACGCGAAAAGCGUGGGGAGCAAACAGG